rnacentral:lncRNA from 1 species
GUCUGUGUAGGACUUAAGUCUGUGAGGUACAGUGAAAAGCAACAACAACAGCCACAACAAAAACUACAGAUUUCUUACAGCUCUGUCACCUGGACAUUUUGGGAGCAAAAUGACCAUGAGCCUACAAAAGUUGAAAAAUUGGAAAUGAAUCUGAUACCGAAGAAAAAACGCACCUUCUACAGAAAGCACUUCCUCCACAAUCUUGUCUCACUCUCCUUUGCUCUAUGUGUAAGAAUAACAAACCUUCAGGCAUUACAUUUUAUUUAGCAUAAGUUUUAUGUGCUUCUCAAGGGAAUAGUUGUUUAUUAGCUAUAUAAAUCUUCAUGAACUUUUAAACAGCUUCAUUUUUCUACCUGUGAUGAUUAUUUCAAAAUGCUAUGUUGGGA